GAUCUGAAAGCAAUCGAUUCCUCGUUUCUUCUUCCGCUGCCGGUUUUUUCUUACUCCUGCAAAAAGGGUAGCAUUUUUUCCGGUGACUGGUGAGGUGAUGGCGGCGGCGAGGGAGGAGAAUGUUUUUAUCUGGAGAAGUUGGCGGAACAGGCGGAGAGAUACGAGGAGAUGGUGGAUUACAUAGAGAAGGUCUUCGGUGCGGCGGCGGCGGCGGAGGGGGAGGAGCUCACGGUGUAGGAUCGCAACCUCCUCUCUGUCGCUUACAAGAACAUCAGCGGCGUCCGACAUGAUUCCUGGAGGAUCGUCUCCUCCGAGGCUACUGGACCUGAGCGCAAGGACGCCGCUGAGAACACCUUCUCAGCCUACAAGGACACCCAGAAUCACCACUGACACACCCGAUUCGGCUAGGUUUGGCCCUAAAUUUCUCGGUCUGUUCUAGGACGAGAUUUUGAAUUCGCCAGACAAGCCUUGUUCUCUUGCCAAGAAGACCCCGUGGGUCAUCCGAGAUGGCAUGGAACGGAAGUUGCUGCAAGGAGGCCGCCGGGUUGAAACUCAGUGACAACGGGGGAAUAAAUCCCUUAUCCCUGUAUCCCAUCCGGUCCGUCCCAUGUUAGCUCGGGUACUGCGAUUUACCUCCCUCACAAUGAUCGUGGAUCCGGUCAGUGGGGACCCGGGGGCGAGGGUUUCGCCUUGUUGCUGCAAGUGAUAUGAUAUUUUCUCUUUUGUUUGCCAACUCAUGAGUAGCAUUUCCUCUCUAAAUGAACAUGUUAUUUCUAUUAUUCUAACAUGCUGUAUGAAAAUUUAUUUGGAUUGUAAUGACAUCCUUUUUUGUUCUGGACUUCUGAUCCAGUAUUGAUGUAUGUUCGACAAUUCGAACUUAAUGCCCAUAUUGCAUCC